rnacentral:rRNA from 1 species
UACACACCGCCCGUCACACCAUGGGAGUGGGUGAUACCAGAAGUAGGUAGUCUAACCGUAAGGAGGACGCUUACCACGGUAUGAUUCAUGACUGGGGUG